GGCAGUGAAGGAAUAAAGCUGUUCUUUGCUGCCUUGCAGGCCGGGCCCUCUUCUCACCUUGACGUGGCUCCAAUGCAGGCGCCUUGGCAGGCCUGAGACAGCUACACUGAGUCCUCUGGAACCAGCGGUGGGGCCCUGUGCGGUCAGCGAGCCAGGAUCCCCAGCACCACCCAGCACCCACAGCCCCUCCUCCAAACCCUCCCCAGCUGCCUCGUUGGCAACUGGAUUCUGCCUGGGGGCAGGGACCAGACCUGCAGGCAUCCUCCCUGACCACGCCACUGCCUCUGGCUUCCUUAUUUGGAGGGCCAAAAAAAGGUUGAACAUUUCCCAAAGGAAUACUGAGGCACAAAGGGAAACCCCAGUCACGGAGAAACCGAGAAAAGGCACCGUGAGAAUAUGGUAUAAAAGAUAAAAAGUGUCCACUUCUAUGGAGCACUUACCAUGAAUGGAGCUUGCAGGACUGGAAGUUGCUCUCGUUCUGGAGCUGGGAAGUUCAAGGCUGAGGAGCUGCAUCUGGUGAGGGUCUUCUUGCUGGUGGCCUUCUUCUGCAGAGUCCUGAGGUGCUGCAGGGGAUCUUGUGGCAGAGUACUGCUGUGACAAACCACCACAAACCGUGUGGCCAACAACACAGAAAUUCAUCCUCUCAUGGCUCUGGGGGCCAGAAGUCCAAUGUCAAGGUGUCAGACCGACCCUCCAGCAGAAGCAGCAAUGAAUACAAGUCCCUGGGUUCCUGCUCUGGCAGCUCCAGCAGUCUAGUGACUGAUGGCUCUGGCCAGUGUUACUUGGGCGUCCUGUUCUUUGUAGUUAAGUAAAUUUCAUCUGGAACAGCUCUACAGGAUGAAUGGAUGAGAAGGUCCCAGGCAGAGUCUGCCUGAGCAGCUCACUACUCUCAUAACUGAAUCCUUGCACCAGGGUUUGUUUUGAGGGAACACAAAUUAAAACACAUGCUUGAUAAGACCUUCAAAUAAGAAACAGAUGGAUGGGUCCCUGAAUGGAAACCUGGAUGGGUAAAACUUCAAUCUCUCCAUGUUAAGUAAUUGAUUAAAUUCUUAUCCCUUGUGGCUAAUAUCCAUUUUGGGUUUUCCUAGAUUCUCUUCUUUUACCUUCUGACUCCACAUUAGAAAGCCACUUGACACUAAUUGUUGACUUCUCAGCUCUUCUGUCUGCUGUUCUGCAAUUGUUCAAAGGUCACUAAUAAAGUCUGGGCUAAUUUAUUAAUAGUUGUAGCUAUUUUUGCUUCUACUAGCUGCUGCUUAGCUCUGUGCAGUCCUGGAAAUUAAGUGACAUUGUUUUCCUUUCCUGCCCAUCAGUAGAAAGCUGGUGCAGAAGGAAAGCAGUUAUGCCGAACAGCGUGGCUUUUUCAGGAAAAGAAAUAAUUCCAGGGAGGCACAACUGAAAUGUCUUUUUUUGGUCAGGAUCCUUUUGGUUGCAAGUGACAGAAAUGCAACUCAAAUAAACAUAAAGGGAAUGUGUUUGUGUUGACUCUAGUAACCACCAGAUUCCAAAGUCAUAGCUGGAUUUAGUGGCUCUGAUGAUAUGGGCUCUCUCUCUCAUCUCAUCUUACCUCUAUUUACCUUCAUUCUGCAUGCAAGCUCUGUUCACGUGGCAGACAAAAUGCCAGGCAUUCGCAGCCCCACGCUCCCAGUGAAUAACCCAGGUGUACAAGCUUCAUUUACGGUCUCUCCCAUAUCAACCUCAGAGUGUUUGAUGUGGUGGAGUUUGGUGUCGUGAUUUUCAAACCCACCAGGACUGUGUCAUGAAUGGGACCUCCCCAGAGGAACCAGCAGAAGAGGAAUAGAAAAGCAGCCUGGAAAGAAAGUUGCUUGGCUGCUAUUAGCCCUGUCAGCUUCCUGCUCAUUGACAGGGAUAGUUCUUGUAUUGCAUUAUCGGAUGCCCCGUAGCUGCCGGCAGCUUUAACCCUCUCAUCCUCUUCCACGGUGUUGGGAUGGGAGACACACGCAUGUUCUUGCUUCCUUUCCAGCCACUCCCUUUCCUAAAUCUAAAUGUAUCUCUGAUUUAGAUGCAGUGGUACAUGCCUGUGAUCCCAGCAACUUGAGAGGCUGAUGCAAGAAGAUUACUGGAGGCUAGGAGUUCAAGACCAGACAGGGCAACAUAGUGAGGCCCCAUCUCUAAAAAAUAAAAAUUACAAUUAAAUGUAUCUCAGGAUGCCCCUGACACAAAGACUUGAGCUUAGGUCAUUUAUUUGAGAGAUGACCCCAGGAUGCACUGGGAGGGAAGAAGUGAGGCCAGGAAGGAAAGAAAAUCAAGAAGGGGGUGUGUUAGUGAGAGAAGGAAAUAGGGCUCAGGUAUCCCUGUGGGCCUUCUAAGACACUGUAUAAAGUUUUAUCAAACCAAACUAUCCCUCAAAACUGUACACAGGAAGGCAAGGACACAAGAGUCCUUUUCACCACCUCCUAGCAGUCCUCCUUGCUUGGAGGCUGCCCCUAGGAGCAGUCUUGCCCUGGUUUCUCUAGCCUGUGUUGAGUGUGAGCUGAACACUCUGGGGUGGGAGGUACUGGGGCAGGGGCAUAGAGAACACCUGAAGAGAUAGAUGCAGGUGCUGGAAAGAGCCCUUGGCAUGGCCUGGACUGCCAACAGCAGCUGUAAGUGACCUCCAGAGUGGACCUGGGCAUGUGGGCUUUGGCUGUCAUCUGCUAUUUAACUGAACGUUGCAACAGCCCAUGAGGUAAGCAUUACUCCAUUUAAGAGCCAAGUAACUGACGCCCAAGCAAUUUCAAAGCUCUGCUACCAGACGUACUUUAACAGUAGAAAGUCUGAUUUUUAAAAAUGACCUAGUUUACAGAGUCCAGGGUUUUAAAAGUUUCUUCCAAAACCUCAACCUGCAUCCUGUUUUCAGAGUUGUUACUACAGUUGCUUAUUAAUCAAGAUUAAUAAAGACCAUGGCAGUUAUUAUCUGAUAGUCACAACUGUUGAGAAUCUUAGGAAAUAGACACAUGGGUGAGAAAUACCAGAGCUUGAUGCUUGAUUGGCAUUAGCCUUAUGGGGCUCAUGAGAUAGUGACCAUGGUGCUUGCAAAGCAUUUCUUGCUGAAAAAGGGAAGCUACAGCUUAAUGCUGGGGCUACUUCAUGCCUGACCAUGACCAGGAUCUGUCAGGCAGUACUCUCUGAAGCCAGUCUCCUAAUUUUUCAGACAUCACAAAUGCAACUUUUUUUUAUAGUUGUGAAAGCCCCCAAAACAUCAAUUCUCACAAAUCAAGGACUGGCUGGGGCCCUGGCUUCUGAUCCUUUGCUCUCCAGGGACCAUGACAAAUUAUUUGGCUUAGAUGUGUGGUGAUGAGGCAAUGGAAUAAACACAACUUUCCAUUUUGCUGCAGAGUAACAUGAAGAAGCCGGUUGACAAGCAACUCUCUGACCAGUUCUGUGGCCUUGGGCAAAUCGCUUAACCUCUCUGGGAUCCAGCUGUUUGUAUGUGAAAUGAAAGUGUUUGGUUAAUCAAGCAGCUAAUCUGGGGCACUUGUGCUGCCACUCCUCUCUCCCUGCCCUCGGCAUAGGGUACUAUUAUGGCACUUUCCCUCCAAGCUAGAUGUUGGCCCCAGAAUCCUCAGCACAGCAAAUCAGGGAAUCAUCACUGAGCACUCAGAGUUGGCAGAUGGGUUUGAAACCUGUCUGCCCUCCCUGGCCUGGAUGAUCUCUAAAGUUCCUUUAAUUCUAACUUGUUGGAUUCUGGGAACAUGUAAACCAGGGGUCUGCAAACUACACCCAAAGGUCAAAGCUGGCCCUCUGCCUGUUUGUGUAAAUAAAGUUUUAUUAGAACACUGCCA